rnacentral:lncRNA from 1 species
GAGGAGGAAAGAAGGGCUUCCCUGCUCAGGGGUGAGGGGGUGGCCCCCUGAAUGGAGCUCCCUGGAACCAUGGAUGACCCUUGCUGUCACUUCUUGCAACCCUGAGCUACAAAGAAUUGAGUCCAAGAAUAGUAUCCGUUAUGAUAAAACUGCUGGAUGUGUGGGUUGAGCGUGGGGGAGAAGGGGAAGUACCACACUAUCAGGGCUGAGGAAUCACCUUUUGGGUGGAAUGUCAGAACACCCAGUUCACUCAUACUCGGUUUACUCGCAUCUUGAGUCCAUAUUACUCAUCGCAUCCCCUCCAUGGAGAUAAGCAUAACACAGUUUCUGCAUCAAGGAGCUCACUUUCCAGUUGGGGAGGCAACCACAAGAAUAGAUCAAUAUGUGAUAGGUGGUAAGAAGGAAGUAGUUCAGGAGAAUGUAGGAGCACAGGGAAGGACACAGGAUUUACUUGGGAAAGAGGUCAGGGAAGUUUCUCUAGAGAACAUGAGCAUGUUUUUUGUCGUGUAUUCGAGAGUCAUUUGUUAUCAUCGUUUAUUGGCUCCCUUGGCUUUCCAGUCUCCACAUUUGUCCUCCAGGAGUUCCAAAUGGCACCAGUGCCUAAAUCUCGGGGUGGGGGGGUUAAUCUUGGGGUGGCUAAACAAAAUGAUACAAGUCCUUUUUACUCUCAGUGUGGACUUCCACUGGGUGCAGACACAGUAUUGUUGUUAGGAUCUUCACGAAGACCCCUCAAAACCUUUUACCUCCAUGAGCCAAAGAUCGGAUCAAGGCUAGGAAACAAAAGUCAACAGACAAACUCAUUGUAUGGCUCAAUGAUGACUAAUCACCCAUUUUAUCAAUCAUUAUUCUCCUGAAACCCAGAACAGGCAUUCUCCUAACCCCUCCACCCUGCUCAUUCAGACAGCUGCUCUGGUGGGGAUUGAGACUUAACUUGGAGCUACUCAUCUACAGCUGAGAGGCAGCCUUCUCCAUCCUUCAGGCUUCCUGACACUUUGUUUCUUCCUCUGACAUGACACUUAGCUUAUUCCACCUUGUGGCAUAGUUAUUUCUGUCACUGUCAAUGCCAUCUCUAGAUAUGGAACUCUUCGAAGGCAGGGUUGGGGCUUCGUUCAGUUCUGUCUGCCCUGACAAACAGCAGAUGGUUAGUACGUUGGGUUGAAUAAAAAUGUCAUAGAUAACGAAGUCUGUGUGAAUCCAGAGAACAUGAGACACAUUCUGCUUCUCUUAAUGUAAGGUCCUUGAUGCAUGAAGAUGAAACUGCACCGACUAGGAAAGGUCAGGAGAGGUACCAACACAUGUGCUAUUAAAGUAAGGUCCUUGAUACGUGUAGAUGAAACUGCACCAACUAGGAAAGGCCAGGAGAGGUACCAACACAUGUGCUACCAGGGAACACGGAACAUUGCAGCUGGGGGAAAGGGUCUUGGAGAAGAUCAGAACAUUUGAAGCAAGAGCUGUUCAAAGAAAAGGGGGAGAGAACAGAGAAGUGCAGCUUGUGUGUGCGGGUGGGGGAGUGAGGGAGAAUGCUGAGGUAGGAUGACCUUGUACUUUAUGUAAUGACCCUGAAGUACCCCAGGAUGCUGCUCCAACCUCUCCUGUGGCUCCCAGAUGCUGUAGGUCCCUUUUUUCCCUUAAUUUGUAUUUUAGGUUCAGGGGUGCAUAUGCAGGUUUGUUAUAUAGGUAAAUUGUAUGUUGUGGGGGUUUGGUGUACAGAUUAUUUUAUCACCCAGGUAAUAAGCAUAGUACUCAAUAGGUAGUUUUUUUUUUUUUUUUAAUCUUCACCCUCCUCCCACCCUUCACCCUUAAGUAGGUCCUGGUACCUGCUGUUCCCUUCUUUGUGUCCAUGUGUACUCAAUGUUCAGCAUCCACUCAUAAGUGAGAACAUGCAGUAUUUGGUUUUCUGUUCCUGUGUUAGUUCGCUUAGAAUAAUGGCCUCUAGCUCCGUCCAUGUUGCUGCAAAGGGCAUGAUCUUGUUCUUUUUUUUUUUUUUUAAUGACAGAAGUAUUCCAUGGCAUAUAUAUAUAUAUAUAAAUAAAAUAUUUUCUUUAUCCAGUUUACCAUCGAUGGCCAUUUAGGUUGAUUCCAUGUCUUUGGUAUUGUGAAUAGUGUUACAAUUAACAUACAUGUGCACAUGUCUUUAUGGUAGAAUGAUUUAUAUUCCUUUGGGUAUAUACCCAAUAAUGGGAUUGCUGGGUUGAAUGGUAGUUCUGUUUUAAGUUCUUUGAGAAAUCGCCAAACUACUUCCCAUGGCUGAACUAAUUAGUUCCCAUGACUGAACUAAUUAGUUCCCAUGGCUAAUUCCCAUGGCUAAUUAGUUCCCAUGGCUGAACUAAUUUACAUUCCCACCAGCAGUGUAUAACUGUUCGUUUUCUCCACAACCUCACCAACAUCUGUUAUUUUUUGACUUUUUAAAAUAGCCAUCCUGAUUGGUUUGAGAUGGUAUCUUAUUGUGGUUUCCAUUUGCAUUUCUCUAAUGUUUAGUGGUGUUGAGCAUUUUUUGUAUGUUUCUUGGCCACAUACAUAUGUCUUCUUUUGAAAUAUGUCUGUUUAUGUUCAAUGCCCACUUUUUAAUAGAGUUGUUUGUUUUUUGCUUGUACAUUUGUUUAAAUUCCCUAUGUAUUCUGUAUAUUAUUUGUCAGAUACAUAGUUUGUAAAUAUUUUCUCCCAUUAUGUAGGUUAUCUCUUUACUCUGCUGAUAGUUUCUUUUGCUGUGCAGAAGCUCUUUAGUUUAAUUAGAUCCCAUUUAUUAGUUUUUGGUUUUGUUGGGAUUUGCUUUUGGCAUCUUCAUCAUGAAAUCUCUGCCAGAUCCUAUGCUCAGAAUGGUAUUGUCUAGGUUAUCUUACAGGUUGUCAUAUUUUUUUAGUUUUAUAGUUUUAGGUUUUACAUUUAAGUCUUUAAUCCAUUGUGAGCUGAUUUUUAUACAUGGGGUAAGGAAGGGGUCCAGUUUCAAUCUUUUUAUAUGGCUAGCAAGUUAUCCCAGUACCAUUUAUUGAAUGGGAAGCCCUCUCCCCAUUGCUUGUUUUUGUUAACUUUGUCAAAGAUUGGAUGGUCACAGGUAUGCAGCAUUAUUUCUGAGCUCUCUAUUUUGUUCUGUUGCUCUAUGUGUCUGUUUUUGUACCGGUGCCAUGCUGUUUUGGUUACUGUAGCACUGUAGUGUAGUUUGAAGUCAUGGCUCCCUCUUUUUACUCUUCUUUUUUCUUUCUCAGAAAAGAGCAUGUAACAAUGUGGGGUUAGGGAUGAGCAGGCGGAUUAGAGUAGUAGAGGUAAAGGCAGAUAGAGAUCUUGAUCCAAUUAUCUUCAUUUCCUUCAUUUGUCCAACUUUGCACACUCCUGUAUGCACGGCCUUUGUAAGCUUCACCUUCUGUACAGGUGCCCAGCAACUGUCAAACUAGCCAGAGCUUAACAUGAGCACAGGCAUUCCCUAUGGACUGGCUGGGACACACCCACAUCCUUAGAUUCCACAUUUUGUCUGUAACACAGAUAAAUUCAUUACUAGGUAUACAAUUCUGUUUUGUUUUGUUUUGCUUUGCUUUGUUUUGAGUCAGGGUCUCAUUCUGUCAUCCAAGCUGGAGUGCAGUGGGACAAUCACCACUUACUGCAGCCUGGACUUUCCUGGGCUCAGGUAAUCCUCCCACCUCAGCCUCUUGAGCAGCUGGGGCUACAGGUGUGCAUCACCACUCCCAGCCAAAUUUUUUCUUUUUUUGUAAUGUAGAGACAGGGUUUCACCAUGUUGCCCAGGCUGGUCUCGAACUUCUCGGCUUAAGCAAUCUGCCUGCCUUGACCUCCCAAAGUGCUGGGAUUACAGGUGUGAGGCCCUGCACCCAGCUCAAUCCUGUUUUUAUACUAGAAGAACAUUUUCUAUCUGGGUCUUCCAAACUUGAUUAUUACUGGUUUAUUUGUCCUGUUCUUUUAUUGGUCCAGGAAAAUAUCCUGAACUCUUUAUUUCUCCUCCGUUCCCUCCUUGUUCUAUCCUAGCUCUAUCCCUUUCCUGAAUUAUCCCUUUGUCUAGCGCUAUCCCUUUCCUGAAUUAAGUCCGAAUACAAUCGGUCUUUGAGUGUGGAAUAGCUCCUAGCAGUCUAUCAGUCAACGGUUUCUCUUUGUGGUCACACUCUAUGUUUAUUCUGGAGACUAUAGCAUGUAAAGAAAAUGGACUUGGGAGUCAGACAAAUCUUGAUUCAAAUCUUGGUAGUGCCAUUCAUCAGCUGUGUGGCACUGAGCGCAUCAGUGGACCACUCUCUAAUCCUCAGUUGUCUUAUCUGUAAAACGAGAUGACACACCCCUGCCCAGGGUUAUGGUAGGAUUAGAAAUAAUAUGUGUAAGACAGCUUUCCCGGUGCCUGAUACAAGGUAAUUGUGCAAUAAGAAGUUACAAAUGUUCCUGAGUCACCCUUCUGGGUUCCUCUGCACAUCCAAUGCUGGACUCUUCAUGCCCAAGGAAACAUAUGGGGCACAAAAGUCAGUGGCUCUCAGCUCAGCAGAAGAGGCACAGGAAGGGGAUGGGCAGGGUCCUGGCUCCCCCUUUGUCCUUGGGGCCAGGCUUGUGGCCAGCCUGGAAAGACUGACAUGAACCCUCCAGCAUCUGGGGGUGCCAACCACCAAGAGCAGCACAGUUCUUAUCUACAAGCCACUUGUAGCAGGUGUGAACAUUUCAUCUUUCCUCUGGGGGUUGCAGCUCUCUCCCCAGUCUCGGUCGCUGCCUUUGGUUGUACCACUUCCCUUUUAUUCUCGCCUGAACCUCCCUCAUCUUUGCUCUACGGUGACAUCGCCCUGGGGAAGAGAAGCUGAGAGGAACUCCUCACUCAGCUAGCUUCAGGAGCCAUGACAUCAUCUGUACCAUGGAAAUUCCGCUCGCUCUCCUGAGCCCCCACAUUUGUCCCAGGCCUCAGAGUCUCUAUAAAGAGAGAUUCCCAACUCAGUAUCAGCACAGGACACAGCUGGGUUCUGAAGCUUCUGCGUUCUGUAGCCUCACCUCUGAGAAAACCUGUCUUCCACCGACACCAUGAAGCUGCGCGUGACGGUCCUGUCUCUCCUCGCGCUAGCAGCUGCCUUCUGCUCUCCAGCACUCUCAGCACCAAUGGGCUCAGACCCUCCCACCUCCUGCUGCUUUUCUUACACCGUGAGGAAGCUUCCUCGCAACUUUGUGGUAGAUUACUACGAGACCAGCAGCCUCUGCUCCCAGCCAGCUGUGGUAUUCCAAACCAAAAGAGGCAAGCAAGUCUGCGCUGACCCCAGUGAGACCUGGGUCCAGGAGUACGUGUAUGACCUGGAACUGAACUGAGCUGCCCAGAGACAGGAAGUCUUCAGGGAAGGUCACCUGAGCCUGGACGCUUCUCCAUGAGACGCAUCUUCUCCACACUCAGGACUCCUCUCCGCAGUUCCUGUCCCUUCUCUUAAUUUAAUCGUUUUUAUGUGUCGUGUUAUUGUAUUAGGUGUUAUUUCCAUUAUUUAUAUUUGUUUAGCCAAAGGAUACGUGUCCCCUGUGGGGAUGGUCCACAGUCACUGUUUCUCUGCUGCUGCAAAUACAUGGAUAACACUGUUAAUUCCAUGUGUUUUCAUAAUAAAACUUCAAAA